CACGUAGGGUGCGAGCGUUGUCCGGAAUUAUUGGGCGUAAAGAGCUCGUAGGCGGUGUGUCGCGUCGGCCGUGAAAACCUGCAGCUUAACUGUGGGCUUGCGGUCGAUACGGGCAUCACUGGAGUUCGGCAGGGGAGACUGGAAUUCCUGGUGUAGCGGUGAAAUGCGCAGAUAUCAGGAGGAACACCGAUGGCGAAGGCAGCUCGCUGGGACGGUACUGACGCUGAGGCGCGAAAGCGUGGGGAGCGAACAGG
rnacentral:rRNA from 1 species